GAUGAUCCCGAUACUUUUUCCCUUCUUCCUCUUGUUCUCUCUCGCGGACGAACCGAAGCCGGCGAACCUUCGGCAAUCGUGGUCGUCGCCUGAGGAGUACAUCGCCGGAGAUCAAACCAGGAGGCUUGGAUCAUCUGGAUCUCUUCUCAACCCUUGCCCGAGCGGUCAUCCGUAGUUGCCGACUCCUCUUCCCCGACGCCGAGAGCAAGGGAGAUGGUCGCCGACGUGAAGAGGCAAUUAGGGCUUCGAGGGUAAACUAGCUUCGAUUCCUCUUCUCUAGAUUCACCCCGAUCUGUGCCCUAGCACGGUCAGCGACUCCCAGAUCAACGCCACUGGAUUGAGCCUUGCCAUCCGAUCACCGGUGUGGAAGAUGCCCUAGGAUUUCGAGGUGAAGAGGAAUUCCGGGGAGGUCUUAAUGAGGUGUUCUUGAGCUAUUAGGCAGAGGCUAGAAGGUGGGCUUGAUCAGUCAUCUGCUUGCUUGAAUCCUUCUUGAUUCGGUUGAUUUCAGCAAGGUGGUUUCUGUGGAUCCGAAGUUCUAUUUCUGUGGAGUUUUUCUUUAGCUCUAGCAGCAGCUACCCUUCUUGGCAGCAUCAUUUCUUUGGGUGGAUCAACAGAUCAGAGCUAGGAAUUAAGUGAGGUUAUGCAUUGUUGCUGUGGGGUUGUUUUAGUACCAGCAGCACCUCUUUGGCUGAAUCAAGAGCAGAGGUUGGAGAUUUAGGACUCUGAUUCGAGACGGGCGUCUCGACUUUGGAUUUGGAUUGACAG